GCCAGCAUGGUGUAGUGGUUUGGAUGUUGGACUAGGACUCCAAAGACCAGGGUUCAAAUCUGUGCCCGGCCA